rnacentral:lncRNA from 1 species
GUUCGCACCUCCUUUGUGCCGCCGCCGCCGCCGCCGCCGAAGAGCGAGUGUCCCGCCGACUUUGCGCUGCGCACCACGGGGCGCCGGGAGCGUGCUUCACUAGACGCCAGGUACUGAACUUUCGAAUCCUCUCCUCUGGCCUCUGCAAUCUGCAUUUUUGGUGAAACCCAGACCACCAGUGCCACCAGUGUAUCACAAACAUCACGGAAAAGUAUUCAAUCACGCCUUCUCGGUCAAGAAAGGGAAAUAUUUUGUCGGCUACAAGCUUAAGACUACUGUAUGAGUAUGAACAUGGCGAAUUUACAAGGUAGAUAUUGAGCUCUUUUUUACAAACACGCGCGUAGACAUUUACUGCAGUUACAUUAUCUGCAGAAAAUUCAUGACUUCAGAGAGCUUAUUUGCCACUAGUACCCAUGCGACCUUGAGAAUGCAGUGCCAAUUAGAGAAGGGAAUAUGCUGCAAACAUAUUAUGAGAACUUAAAGAAUUAGUUACCAGCUAACAUUGGGAGGGUACAACGUGAGACAUAAGCAUAGAUGUGUAACACGUACCAGUUUAUUAGCAAGGCGAUAGAGAAUGUUUAUAAUCCUUCAGUAGCAGGGAUGCGGCCUGCAUUAGCGAACAAAAUUGCUGCUCUUAUUGCUUGUGCAUGAGACCUAAUCUUCCUCUAUGCAAAAGAGAAAAUUACAAAUUAAUUUGUCAUAAGGAAUGCAAAGAAAUACGAAAGAAGGCAGCUAAUAAUGAUGUAUGGCUGUUUUCAAAGUCUGAGCUAGUAUAUUUACUUUUAUCGGAUACUUAUAAUCUACUAUCAACGUGGGCUUGCCAGGAUUCAUGUCCAGGGAUUUCUGAAAUUCAUCUUUUACGGCCUCCACCUCCUCGGGCAUGAUACUGUACAUUGUUUUAACAGAGACAUGCUCCAGUGACAUGAGGUGCUCCAAACCAAAGUUACAAUCACCAUACUUAUGCAUUACCUCUUUCACCCCGAACACUAAAUGAAGUUCUUUGAGGUUUUGCAUACUUCCUGGUGCGAACACCACCGCCAUGGAUUCAUAAUCGAUUUGCAUCUCAGUUAGGCACCGGAAUGGAUAACACUUGCCAAUGACCAAUCUUUCAUCUCUGGUUUCCUUCACAUGUAUACUGAGACAACGUAGAGAUGGUAUGCUCCCAAGGACAUGAAAAUCCUGUGCUCCCAGAGCUAAUAGUUCAAUGUUUAUGCUAGACAAGAAGCAGAGCGAUGACAUCCAUCUUGGCACUGCAGUCGACUCAAUAUCAAUGGAGCAAAGAUGUUGAGGACCAGGGUACAAUUUGUCACAUUCGGAACAUAGGCUGCUCACCAUGGUACCUUUUAUUUCCAUGGAUUUGAGGCUGACAAGGUUAGAUAGACAUUGGAUGAAAGGUUCCUCAUAGCUCUCAUCCCAAUCACAAAAGUCGAUGGCCAAGGUCCGGAGAUUGGUCAGACACCCCAGAUUAUGCAGCAUGCUUGGUAACUUGAUAGUUAUGAUCCCUUUAACUUCUUGUAGAGAGGUUAGUUUUCCGAAUCCAUCUGGCAGUCUUAUGCCCCACAUCGGCCUAAAACAAAGACGCAGUAGCUGUCGCAAGUGAAUAAUGGUUGGCAUCUUUACUUUGUGCCCAAGAUUACUUAUGUCAAGUACUUGCAAAAAUUGUAGAUUCUGAAUCUCCCGUGGCAUCUCAGUAAUAAAUUCCGCAUUGAGACUCAAAUAUCUCAGGUGAAACAUAUUGCAAAUAUCUUUAAAGUGGUGAUUCCUCACUCCCUUACAUUUCUUUAAAUUCAAUACACGUAAGACCAGAAAGGCCGAAAGUUUUGGCAUCAACUGGAACACUUUAGUGGACACAGUAAGUGAUCUUACGUGGGAGAAACUCAUUGUAGCCAGCUGCUUGACUUCCUCUUCCUGGCUAAUUUGGAGGGAUAACCGGUGGAUCUUUUUAGGCAGAUCAAGAGAUAUGGGCUGUUGCUCACCUACUUUUGUUAGAAAAUGCUCCUCAUUUGACAAGAAACUGAUAAGAUCAAGGACCAUAUCAUGUAUCCGACAAGAAACAGUCUUACCAUCACGGCCAAUAUCUACAGGUUCCAACAUACUUCUGUUAAUUAACUCUUCGAUGUAAUCCUCACCUACUUCAUAUAAGGUCUUCCCCUGUUCUUCAUGGACAAAACCUUCACCAAUCCAUUUCCAUAUGAGACCUCUUGUUUUAAUUCUGUAGUCUUCUGGAAACAAACUUAGGUAUAGCAAGCAAGUCUUUAGAUGUGAAGGUAGGUCAUAAUAACUAACUGAUAGUAUCCUUCUCAUAUUCUUCACAUUAGUACUGCCAUUUAGACCAGAACCCAUGGAUUGGUACACAUGUGACCAAUAGUUAUGUGUAUUUAUUUCCUUUCCAGUUUUAUCGGCUAGCAUACUUGCCAUGGUAAUGAUAGCUAAUGGUACACCACCACAUUUCUGUAAGAUUUUACCAGCCACUUCAGCUAAAUUAUGUGGAGGACAUUUGUCUUCACUGCCAAAAAUUCUUUGGCAGAAUAACUUUGUUGAGUCACUGAGAGAAAGAGGUUCCAUUUGAUAAACACUUCCAGCUUGUUUUGCAACAUCAAUAUUACGAGUUGUGAUAAUUAUUAUACUUCCACAUUCAUUGUGCAUCAAAGAACAUUGGAUUGUUUCCCACACAGAAGUAUUCCAUAUGUCAUCAAUGACAAUGAAGUACCUAUAUAUAUAACACCAAGAGACAAGUAUAUAUCAGCAAAACUCUACCACUUGUUUUCUUUCUGUGGCUAUUAAAGUCAAAUAAUGCAGCUAACAAAACGAAAACUAUAAUUGGCUUUUAGACAACACAGCUGCCUAGGCACCAGAUCUGCGCAUAGGGGGAGAUAAUUGCCCUGUGGUAACCACCAAUAGCUGCAGACUGAGUAGUGAGUAGCAAAUGAUUGCAAAUGAAGAGGGAAAUUAAAGGAGGGCCCAUCCUUGCUUUCCUUUCAGCAGCGAUGAGGAGGCGAUGGCCACAUACAUACCUCUUGUGCAGAAGGAACUUCCUCAGUUCCCAGAUUAGUUGUUCUUCACUCCAUGUUCCUUGAUUGAUGUCCCUGUAUUUGUCUCCAUCAAGCUGGUAGAGCAUGUUUUUGAAAACCUUGACGACAUCAGGAUUAUGAGACACAUAAACAAAUGCCCCACAGCCAAAUUGCCCUUUAAUCUUCUCAUACACAAGAUUAGCAAGAGUAGUCUUGCCUAACCCUCCAAAGCCAGCAAUAGACAGUACAACUGGCUGCUUGGAUGCCUCCUUGUCGCCCUCCAUGAGCCUUCUCACAAGGUCACUGCUCUUCUCUUCGGCGCCAACAAGUUCUGUCGCCUUUCUGUAAAGAGCCGACAGCCGCAGGUUGUCGAUGCUUCUGCCAACAGGCUUGGAAGGAACCAAAUCAACCUUGUACCUGUCACGCCGUUCACUCACAUCCUUUAUGCGGCUCCUGAUCUCCUUGAUGUCUAUGCCGAUGCUGUGUUGAAUCCUGCCCCUUGUCAGCAGGUGGAGGCUUCUAUCAAUGAAUCCCUUGAAACUAUGUGGCUUGCCAUCGCCAACUCGCACCAUGAAUCUGUCGAUGCUGUCCUCGAGGUCGUAGGACAGCUCUCUCACCUCCCUUGUCCAGAGCUUGACUUGGAUGUCAGGUGGGUGGUCGAUGGGUGCCUCGGAGACCUUGAUGAGAGCAGCCUCCAUGCUCUUGAGCUCAGCCUCCAGGAACAUGAUCUCACCCCUCACCUUCUUCUGCAGGUUAUACUCCUCCUUGAUCAGGUUGGCCAGCUUGGGCAAGAGAGUGCCCAUCGCCCCGGUGACUAUCUCCGCCAUGGUUGCUCAGUCAGAGCUCUUACCGACCAGCACCACUAGUUGUAAAGUAUUUUGUUAAUGAAGAAAGGUUUAUCUAUACAUUAUUCUUUGUUUGGUUGGCUCAAAGCUUUUACUGUUGAUUCAUGAUGAUAUGAGCAGGUGGCUAGCGAUAAAAUUCUAUAAUGGAUGGAGACAGAAUCCGACCAGGGAUAGUGGUCUCUCGUGGAAAGCUUCGAAUGUCACAUCAGUUGGACUUUAUCUAUAUACACCAGCAAGACUAGCUGUAAAGUAUUUCGUUAAUCAAGAAAGGUUUAUCUAAAUACAGUUUUACUUUACAUUAGCAUAUCUAGAAGACUGGAGCAAGGAUGUUGAAGUUGCACAUUUUUUUUAGAUUUGCGUGUUUUUAUUUACCCGAAGUUUUAUCGUAUGCCCGAUUUGAUGAGGCAAUGAGUGCAAAAUAAAGCAAACGACUUUGACUUAGG